rnacentral:rRNA from 1 species
AUUGAACGCUGGCGGAAUGCUUUACACAUGCAAGUCGAACGGCAGCACGGACUUCGGUCUGGUGGCGAGUGGCGAACGGGUGAGUAAUGUAUCGGAACGUGCCCAGUCGUGGGGGAUAACGUAGUGAAAAUUACGCUAAUACCGCAUACGAUCUAUGGAUGAAAGCGGGGGAUCGCAAGACCUCGCGCGAUUGGAGCGGCCGAUAUCAGAUUAGGUAGUUGGUGGGGUAAAGGCCCACCAAGCCAACGAUCUGUAGCUGGUCUGAGAGGACGACCAGCCACACUGGAACUGAGACACGGUCCGGCCUCCUACGGGAGGCAGCAGUGGGGAAUUUUGGACAAUGGGCGAAAGCCUGAUCUAGCCAUUCCGCGUGCAGGAUGAAGGCCCUCGGGUUGUAAACUGCUUUUGUACAGAACGAAAAGGUUUCUACUAAUACUAGGAGCUCAUGACGGUACUGUAAGAAUAAGCACCGGCUAACUACGUGCCAGCCGCCGCCGUAA